AGUGUAGCUCAGCUGGCAGAGCGUCGGUCUCCAAAACCGCAGGUCGGGGGUUCGAAUCCCUCCACUC
rnacentral:tRNA from 1 species